GGGAGGACCCAUCAAAAACACCUUGUGUAAUGAAAAAAAACCCAGAUAUAUAAUCUCUCCCUAUAUAUUCUGCAUGCAUUGAGGUAGCCUCAACCCCUCAGGGACCUUGGUACAGACAAGGAACCUGUGACACACAGCAACUACUGCUAUCUGAAGGACAAAAAGAAGCCAAUGAUACCAAGACAAGCUCAUAACAGAGAUUUAAUCACCAGAUGUGUACGCAUGAAAAUACAGUGAGAUGAGUCAGAAAAUGGGUAAGGAGGGUCCUAGACUCUCCAAGAACCAGAAGUUCUCCGAGCACUUCAGCAUCCACUGCUGCCCGCCCUUCACCUUCCUCAACUCCAAGCGGGAGAUCGUGGAUCGGAAAUACAGCCUCUGCAAGAGCGGCUGCUUCUACCAGAAGAAAGAGGAGGACUGGAUCUGCUGCGCCUGCCAGAGGACCAGAUUGAGAAGAAGAACCAAGCCAACUCCAAGAAAGAAGUGAUAAAGGAGUUUCAAGUGAAUGGAUGGCCUCAGCCCCUGGACUCACUGCUUCGCAACCCAUCUGCCCUUGGACCAAUUACCUGGCUUUGAAUAUGAUGCAGGGGCAGACACCUGCUGAUAUAGCAACUGUCAUUGCCCCAAAUUCCCAUGAUAUGGGAGUUUCAGGGCAGCCUGCCUGGAGGAAGACACACAGAUUCUGCCUAAAACAGUACCAUCCUGACUCAGCAGUUGUUCACCACCAGGCAACCAGCGUUGCCUCCGGCGGGAUUGCUGACCCACAACAGCACAUUGAAGAUCUCACCCCAUUGUCUUCCUCUGUAAUUGCCAAUGAGAAAUAUGCUACCAGUCUACUUGUUCUUCUAUUGACUCAAGUUUCUUCAGUUUGAAGAUUUAUGCCUUUCUUCAGGGAUAUGAAAAAAAUUUAUGUUGCACAACCAUCAAAAUAGCAAAAAUAAAAAAAAAUAUUAUCAAGUGUUGGCAAGGAUGUGAGGAAAAUUCUCAUAAGCUACUGAUGAGAAAUUAUGUAUUAUUACACCACCUGGGGCGCAAUCUGGGGCUACUAACAAGGCAAACUAUUGUAAUCAAACAACUAUGAUGUUAGGACUCCCUCCUAGAGAAAACUUACACUUUUAGGAAAAUGAUAUGUACAUAAAUCUAUUCAAUGAAUCAUUGUUUGCGAUUUAAAAAAAAAAAGAAAGAAAUGUCCACCAACAGAGAAUGAGUGAAUCAAUCAGCAGUUAAAAAUCAAUGAAUCAGACCUACCCGCAUGAGGUAGAUAAAUUUGGAAAACAAAAUGAGGAGUUUAAAAAGCAAGCAGUAAAUGAUACAUGCAACAUGACACACUUUGUAUACAUUGUAACAACCCACAAUACCGUAUUGCCUAUUGCCCACUAAUCAGAAGCCAUAUGAUCUCAUACUUUCCUUAUAAUGCAAUAGAAUAAAAUUGACAACAAAAUAAGAGGAUAUCAAAAAAUCAUCAUCUAGGAAAUCAAAAAGAAGAAUUAGAAAUAAUUCCUGAUUUGAAGAAAUAACUGAAACUAAACACUGCAUGGUUAACAGAAUUAGCCAGAUGGAGGGAGAAGUGGGCGACUGAUGAAAAGUCUGAGGUGUCUCCCAAGGUUAUAAAUCUUAGGAAACAAAAAUGUCUGUCUUGAAUCAGUUUUGUAUCUGGGUUUGUGACCGUGAUGUGGGAUGACUUCUGACAUGGGGGAAGAAAAGGAAAGAACUGGAAAUACAGCUCUCGCCACCACCCAAACCUUCUCAUUGUAAUAAGUAGGAAACAGUAGAAGAUAAUAGAAUGUUGCAGAGUGAGGAGGGAUGUAAAAUGGACAGUAUUAGGGUGGAAGGAAACUCAGAGGAUCAGAGAGAGAAGAGCAUUAGGAGCAGUCUUGUGCUGGGAGCUGGUGUGGCCAAGCACAGGCAGAUGCCUGAAGCUUCAAAAGGUCACAGCUCUGUGUCCUUGAAUGAGCACAGCCAGACCUGGCCAAGCAUAAGAAGCGAGAGUAAGUAGGAGAGCCAUGUCAGCAGAAGUCUUGUUCAAGGCAUGGGGUGGGGUGAGAGGAAAGUGCUAGAGGAGGGAGGAAGAGUAGUGGAUUCAGACGAGAUAAGGGUCAAAGUCAUGGCGCAAGUACUGUUUGGAGGCAGCUGGAGGUUGAGGCCAGAGUGUCCUGAUUUCCUCACUUGGGGACUCCAUGGCCCUCUGGAAGUACCAAUAUAAAGGCAGGGGAAUUUAACUGUACAGAACCUUCAGGUAGAAAUGUUCUUCUUGCCUAAACUUAGGUGCUAAAUCAACAACAAAUAGUUUACCUCUACUAGAACAAUUUCCAGUGGUGUUAUACCUGAGGCCAGUACCUUCCUGAGGAUAAAUAGCAUGAUUUAUUUAGAGUGGACAGAGUGGAGACAGGGAGGAAACACAUGGCAGACCCCUGGUGAGUGAAACAGAUUCCUGGUCCAGUCCCACCCAGAUGCAGUAAGGAAGCCUAAUAUCCCUGUUGCCUGUUUGGAUUUUGAUAACGCUAGACCAUAUAUCCAGAGCUUGCUGGGCUUUGUCCUCCUCCUCAUCCAGAAAACACACAAUGACCACAGAACGAACCAGGAAGGGAGAGAAUAGUGUGUAUUAACUCAUGCAAAAAGUUGGAUAUUCUCCCAGUAAUGUUAAUAACCAGAAAUUACUAAAUUCUCUGUUUGUCUGUUGUGGAAAUAAAACCUUCUGGGGAUGGAUCAAACAUAUCUGGAAAUUACUUGAAAACUGGUGGAUAGCUAAAUGUAACGUGCCUUGGAUAUCAUAAGGAAAAUGUGCUGUCAUCCAAUUACAAUUUUUGUUUUUUAAAGAUUGGUCCUGGGGAACUCAACCCAGUAAAUACUGUAGAAAUCACAUGAAGCUUCAAAUGCUAUUUUAUGUGAACUCCUUGAGUGGAAAUUCACAACCUUAAUGUCUGGCCUAUGACUGAUAUUUCUAGAUGUUUAACUGAUUUUAUGUUCUGACAGUUUGAAUAGUUGUGGGAAAACUGAGGUGUGUUGCCCUGGUACAUGUUCAACAAUGGGGUUUCUAGGUAGAAAGUCCUGAUUUAUAGUGCUUGCUAUUUUCUUUCUUUUUUUUAUUUUUAAAAAUUCUUAAAAAUUUUUUAACUACACAACAGCAGUGGAAAGCAUUACAAUUCUUACUACACAUAUAGGAGUGCUUGCUAUUUUCCCUGGUGUAAAUAUUUCCAUGGUGCUGAUUUUGAACUAUGAACAUGAAGUCCCUGAAUGCAGACCUGGGGAAGACAAGUUCACAGUUGAUUCUCAUGAAUCAGCACAGGCUGGUAUAAGGGAACCACAGUAUCUACCCAAGGGCCUCUGUGAAAGCAGAGUUUACCACUGUAAACUGUGAUCCAUAAAUAUACAAAGGCAGUGCUAAAAGAAAAAUUUAUAAAAUAUGUAUUUUCAAAUUGGGGAACUCACAUGGAGAAAAUUGACAGAGGAUUUUUUUUUUUAAAUUGAGAAUUUGAUUAUUAUUAUUUUUAAGCAAACAGGAUAUCUAUGCAUCAUAUCAAGUGUUCUGAACUCUUAGUUUCUUUGGGGUUCCCUAGAUGGAGGCUGGGACUCUUUUCCUUUGAUAUUGGUGCUAAAGUGAUGUUGACCAAAGAAUCGAUGGGACCUGCACACUGUGAAGCCAGCUUCAGAAUGGCUGAGCUGAGGGUCAAGAAAGAAGAAACGAUGUGGAGUCUCCUGAAUUUGGGGGAGGCAGCAUUGAAAUUUAGACCCAUGAUUUGGUAUGACAAUAUAUAACUUUUUUAUGGUUGUUAACAUUAAUGAAAAGGAGAAAAAUAAGUUGUCCAAGAGUUGAAAAAAAAACAGAUUAAUAAACUUUCUAAUUAGAGUAAGGUGAAAGAACUUAUUAAACUAAAGGUGAAUUGGAAAUGUCAA